rnacentral:rRNA from 1 species
UACGUAGGGUGCGAGCGUUGUCCGGAAUUACUGGGCGUAAAGAGCUCGUGGGUGGUUUGUCGCGUUGUUCGUGAAAACUCACAGCUCAACUGUGGGCGUGCGGGCGAUACGGGCAGACUGGAGUACUGCAGGGGAGACUGGAAUUCCUGGUGUAGCGGUGGAAUGCGCAGAUAUCAGGAGGAACACCGGUGGCGAAGGCGGGUCUCUGGGCAGUAACUGACGCUGAGGAGCGAAAGCGUGGGGAGCGAACAGG